rnacentral:rRNA from 1 species
UACGUAGGUGGCGAGCGUUGUCCGGAUUUACUGGGCGUAAAGAGCGCGCAGGCGGUCGUUCAAGUCGCGUGUGAAAGCCCCCGGCUCAACUGGGGAGGGUCACGCGAUACUGAUCGACUCGAAGGCAGGAGAGGGAAGUGGAAUUCCCGGUGUAGUGGUGAAAUGCGUAGAUAUCGGAAGGAACACCAGUGGCGAAAGCGGCUUCCUGGUCCAGCAUCGACGUUCAGGCACGAAAGCGUGGGGAGCAAACAGG